CCUACGGGUGGCAGCAGUGAGGAAUAUUGGUCAAUGGGCGGGAGCCUGAACCAGCCAAGUCGCGUGAAGGAAGAAGGUACUUAGUAUUGUAAACUUCUUUUGUCGGGGAACAAAGGCGGAGACGCGUCUCCGGAUGAGUGUACCCGAAGAAAAAGCAUCGGCUAACUCCGUGCCGGCAGCCGCGGUAAUACGGAGGAUGCGAGCGUUAUCCGGAUUUAUUGGGUUUCAAGGGUGCGCGGGCGGUGGAUAAAGUCAGCGUGAAAAGGUAGGGGCUCAACCCAGGCCGGCCGUUGAAACUGGUUGUCUUGAGUUGGUGAGAAGUAUGCGGAAUGCGUGGUGUAGCGGUGAAAUGCAUAGAUAUCACGAAGAACUCCGAUUGCGAAGGCAGCAUACCGGCUCCAAACUGACGCUGAGGCACGAAAGCGUGGGGAUCGAACAGGAUUAGAUACCCUGGUAGUC
rnacentral:rRNA from 1 species